AGCAAAGACCUGAGGACCUUCAAGAGUGUGGCCCCAGCGGGCUCCAGCCUCCGAGCCUAGCUCGGGAGGCGUGGUGUAGAAAAUGGCAGACUAGGGCAUCCAUGAAGACCGGGCGGCCCCAAGCCGAGAGGCAUGGCAAAACAGGGGUUGCAGGUGGCUGUUCUGGCAGAGCGAGGAGGAUGGAUUUGAAGAAGACAGGCAUGCAGGGGAGACCUUUGAGGGGAAUGUGUCAACAGCCAAGGGGGGCGGGGCGCCGGGGAGGUCUGGAUGAAGUGGGAAUGAGGAUGGAGUGCAGAGUGCCUGGAGAAGUGUUCAGGAGGGAAGGCGAGGCAUCGGGACGAGGGGCUGGGCGGUCGCGCCAUCUCUGCGAUAGACAAUAAUCGGGUCAACACGCGGCGAGUGGCGGUGCGCGCGGGGCCAACCGCGUGGAGCUGUCGGGAGGGCGAUAGGAUGGGCGCGCCCGGGCUGCAGGCGGGGAGCCGGAGGUGGGAGGUGCCUCUUGAGAGUGGCUCUCCACCGCUGACAGCAAACGAGCUGGUCCGGACGGAGGACAGAGGGGGAAGAAACGGAGGGAGUCGCUGGGGGACGGCGACGAGUGGGAUCCGGGCGGGUGGGACUGGGCGCAAAGGACCGCGCCGACGCCGCAUGGCUGCCGGGAAUUCAGCUCCCCCGGCCAGGUUGAGCGGGCCCCGGGGCCCGGAGCGGGCGUCGGCAUCUCCGGCCUCCCCGCGGGGCUGCAGGCAGGCGGCGCCCCGAGCGCACCCCGCGCGAGCAGGCGCGGAACAGCGGACCCAGGCCGGGCCUUCCCGCAGCUUUUCUGGCCGCCUCGGAGGGCAGGGUCCCAGCGCGGCCCGAGGCGCCUCUUGCCAGCGGCCCGACCUCCUGCCCUCCCGGCCCCCUCCAGGCUCCCCGCACGUGCAGGCCCGGCGACGUCACUGCGGCUCUGACGCGCUCUUGGAGGCCCGGGCGGAGGCGGCGCGGCGCGGGCUUCCUCCGGGAGGUCCCGGUCCCGGCAGCCCGCGGCCGCGUCCUUGGCCCUCCUCCGGGGGAACCUCGUUCAUUCCAAACUCUGGAAGGCCGGCUGUCCUUCGGUUACUGAUAAGGACGCGAGCUCUUGGUAAAAGAUUUGAACAAUGCCCGGAAAGAAAUAGCUGGACCUAAGAAACAGACUAAUAAUAGCUGCCAGCUAGAGCUCCACUCGUGUGCUCAGCGCCUUUAGGAACAAUAAUAACGACCACAGCCAUAGUAGCCACCAUUUAUUGAGCGCUUACUCUGUGCCAGGUGCUGUGUUAAGCGCUUUGCAGGCAACAACCCUCGGAGGUAAGUACCAUUAUCAUCCCUAUUUUGCAGGAAACCCGGGCACAGAGAGGUUAAGUAACUUGCCCCAGGGCACACAGCUAGCUGAUGUCAGUGCCAGAAUUCCAACCGCGGCUGUCGGACCCCAUGCCAUCCUCAUGUCAACCCACUAAGGACGGGAUCCUUCUGUCCAUCUUAAAGAUGAGGCAACUAAGGCACAUGGAAAUUUAAGUAUAAUACCUUGCCCAAGGUCACCUAGCUGGAAAAUGGACGAGACAGAAAGCGAACCCAGGGCUCCUUUCUGUACGCAGAACCCGCGGUCUUGGCCAUAGGCGAUGCCACUUCCGACAGCCCAGCAGGGUCUGGCCCUGGGUCCCAGAGGCGCAGCCCCUGCGGGGUUUGGAUGGGUUCCUGCGGCCUCCGAUCCGCUGGUGAAUUGGGUGUGUCUGAGCAUCGUCCCCGCUCAGCCCGCAGGCGUAGGAUAGGGAGGCGUCUCCGGGAAUCUACUCCGGGACGGGUCCGCGGUCCUCAGUCGGGAUGGAGCGGGGGCGGAGGCAGCCGGAGGGAACUGGAGUCCCCAUUGCAGAACUGCGGGGCCGGGCUCUGGGCUGGGCGCCUGCCCCGCGCGGCCGGCAGAGGGCGCUGCCGCACACGCCUUGGAUCUCACUGUCACUGGGACCUCGGGGCAGGCUGACGUCGGCCUGCAGACGCCUGGACUCAGAACCCCGAAGCAAGAAGCUUCCCUUCCUGGUGGCUGCCAUCCCUCAGGCCCACCAUUUCAGCCCUGGACCUGCUUUCCCUGACCACUUUUCCCCAUCUUCUGUGCUCCUGCCAUCCCACCACUGGCCUUCAAGACUUCCCCAGUCCCUGCACAGCGGGUUUUGUCAUCUGCUGAGAGGCGCGGACACUGAUUCCCAUCCCAUUAAAAGGCCUAGAUGUCUGCAAGUCAAAUUCAGCCUUGCUUCCCCUUCUCGCCCUCUGGUGAUUUAAAAUAGGGAUACAUCAUCUACUUGGAAUAAAUGACUAAUUUUUCUCUUCUCCAAAAUACGGUGGGUAUGGGGAGGGUUGGUUAAGUAGGCGCACACAGAUGAAAGGAUCUAUUUUCAUAAUAGCUACCGAGUACAGAGUGCUUCUUUUGCGCUGAGCCCUUUAUGUGCUUUGACUCAUUAAUCCUCACUACAGCCCUAAGAGGUGUGGAUGAUGAUUGCUGUUUGAUGGAUGAGGUCACAAGGCUGGUAAGUGGCAAAGCUGGGAUUCUUCCCAGGAGUGUCUGACUUUAAAGCUAUGUUCUCAUCACCCAGAAUGUACACGCUGAAACAACUGAACAGAAGAGGUAAGAUGCAAAUCAUGAAAAACAAAUCAAAAUCUACGCUGAGAGUGCAUAGAAAUACCACAUGUCAUGGGAGGCUUGACCAGCUUGAGUCCCCAAUGUGGGACUCAGAUGUUGAACAGAAAAACAAAACCUAAAGGUGCAAGGAGAGAAUAAGAAUGAGGCUUUUGGCUUUAGCUUGGAAGAGCAUCCGGAGAGGCCCACUCACUUUCUAUGUCUGGGCUCUGAGAAAAUAAAGGUGGUUCUAGGAAAAUCUGAAAAGUAUGGGAGAAAGAAAAAAAAAAUCCCUUUUGUGGUUUUUCCUUUAACCAAGCCUCAUUUUGCUAUUUGUGUUUUAUUUUAAAAUUAAUGUGGCUCUCCCCACCCUUUAAAUUGGCACAUAAAUAGCAAAAACAGAAGGAAAGCCAGCUACAAACUUAAAAUGUGGUGGGUUUCUCAGGAAGGAGGUACAUGACUUGAAAUGGAAAUGAGGAUUAAAUGAGAUGCCUUAAACAUUUCAAAAACAGACUUUCCACAAGGAAUUUAGAUCAUAAGCCCUUAGGGCAGAAGCUUUGUCUGGGUCUGGGCUUGGUAUAGUGUCUAGAAUCUGUGAGUGCCCAAUGAAUGUGUAAAACAAAUCACCCUUUUAGUACAUGCUUGCAUCAUCUGACCAUCUGGGCUACCACGUUGCUUAUGGUUUUAUUUAUUAUUAUUAUUAUUAUUUAUUUUUUGAGACGGAGUCUCACUCUUGUAGCCCAGGCUGGAGUGUAAUGGCACAAUCUUAACUCACUGCAACCUCUGCCUCCUGGGUUCAAGUGAUUCUCCUGCCUCAGCCUCUCGAAUAGGUGGGAUUACAGGCACCUGCCACCACACCCGGCUAAUUUUUGUAUUUCUAGAAAAGAUGGGGUUUCACCAUGUUGGCCAGUCUGGUCUCGAACUCCUGACCUCAGGUGAUCCGCCCACGUCAGCUUCCCAAAGUGCUGGGAUUACAGGCAUCAGCCACCACGCCCGGCCUGCUUAUGGUUUUGAAGUGUUGCUUCUGGGGUGAUAUUCCUGUCCUCUAGAUCUCAGUCACUCCUCAGACCCCUCCCUUUUCCAGAAAUUUGCUCUGGAAAUUCAAUCAAGGUGAGGCAAUAGGUGAUGAUGUCACUAGGCUUGGUGAAGUAGAAUGACUGCUCAGCUCUGGAACCACCAACUGGAGGUUUUUCCAAACGAGGAAAACAAAGUCAUGGGACUUGUCACUUAAUAGUUCUGACUGUAUUGCCCUGUGCCUUUAAACUGGAAGAAUUCCCCCUCUUCACCCAAUACCCUGGCCAUCCCAGGUGGCCUCCUGCAAAAUUAUUGGACUUCUUUGCCCUUUCCUCAGUCUGCUUCUUCUUCCCUCCUUCUUUCAGUACCUUCACUCCACAGACAUGUAUUGAGAGCCCAUUAUAUGUAGGUGCUGGGAGGACAGCAGAGAACCUAGCAUGAGCUCAUGGGCUCACCUUCUCCUGUUCCCACCUCCACCUGGCUCCUUUCUUCAUGGCUCCAACUUUCAGGUUUGGCUCCACCAUAGUAACUGACUUGCUUCUCCAUGUGGGAACAACUACUCAGACACUUUUUUUUUUUUUUUUUUUUGAAACGGAAUUUCACUCUUGUUGCCCAGGCUGGAGUGCAGUGGCACCAUCUCAGCUCACCGCAACCUCAGCCUCCUGGGUUCAAGGGAUUCUCCUGCCUCAGCCUCCCGAGUAGCUGGGAUUACAGGCAUGCACCACCACACCCGGCUAAUUUUGCAUUUUUAGUAGAGACAGGGUUUCUUCAUUUUGGUCAGGCUGGUCUCGAACUCCCGACCUUAGAUGAUCCGCCCACCUCCCAAGUGCUGGGAUUACAGGCAUGAGCCACCAUGCCUGACCAGACACAUCUGACAUUCUAUCAGCUCCGGGCAGCUUCCUGAGACCAUACCUGCUGACUUUAGAACCCCACCUUGGGGGUACCCAUUUGGCAGGUUUGGAUCCUGAUGGACCUUCAGGAGCAGAACUUGGGAAUGUUCUAGCUCCAGGACCUGCCAAUGCCGUCCCAUCCUUUCCUAGUUGGCUUUCCUUCCAUUCAUAAGAACACUGUGACAACUGAAAUAAUUCAGGUCAUAUUUAUGAAACAUCUAUUACAAUGAGAAUCCCAUAGUGACAUAAUACUCCACUGUUCACAGGAAAAUGCUAGCUAAAACAAACAACAGUGACUGUCUGGCAAGGGACGCAUCGAAUAAUGCUUAUGAGUCUUUUGGGUCUUUUUUUUUUUAAUCUUGGGAUCGAGUGAUUGAUAAUAAUGAAGGGGAAGGAAGACAUUAGGCCUGUUUUAGUUCUCAGAAUUAUUCACAGGGAAUAGACUUUCACCAUCAACACCCUAAAGAUGCAGAAUGCUCAAGGUAAAUUGCCAGUUUUUGUCUUUCUGGAAAAUCCAUUAAUACUGAAUGAUCUUGGUCUUGACCCAUUCCAAAAAAAAAAAAAAAAAAGAGGAUUGAGCCAUGGGAUUCAGAUUAUGUCCUUGAAAAUCCCUUUAAAAACUAGAUUCCAAAUCAGUGCUCUCAUUCUUCUUGAAUAUCCCACCCACCAGCUUAGCUUGUCCUAUCCCUUCUAGAUACAGCAUUAUUUUCUCUCUUUGAGGAAGAAUGGCCCAGAGGCCGGAAGAGUGAGGGAACGUAAGAACGACUUUUCCACUGACCUGAGUUGCUAAAGCCAUUUGGACCCAGAGAACUCAUUGUAUAUGUGUGCUGCUCAAUAUAUAUGUGUGCAUGAAUUUGUGGUUGUGCAUUUUCUGGCUAAUAUCCAAAGUCUUCAUAACAAGGGGCCUGAGAUACGACAAAAGGAAGACCUAUGUGUCAAGGACGUGUGUCCACCCACCAAGAAGUUCUGGAUGCCCAAAGGGGCUCCUAGCUCAGGGUCUGUGUGUCCAGCUGCUGGGGUAAAGAGAUUUGGAAACCACUGAACAUUUCUGCUGGGAUCCUUCCAAACCCUUUUGGGAACCGGCAAUAGCACUUGUCAGGGGAAAUUAGUUCUGCACUUUCACAGAGUGAGAAAUUCCUCAGGGGGCAUUCUUGUACUUGGGAAGAGAAAUCGAACCCAGCUGAUUCCUUCAGGGCCCUUGCCAUUAAUAAAGCAGACGAAGUCCAGUUCAGUUAGUCCCGCCUGGGUCAGGGCGUGGAGUGAGGACAGGAGCAAUGGCGUUCAGGGAAUUUCACCUGUGGCUAUGGCCCUCCUCUGAUGGGUGCAAGCUUGAUAUUUUAGGGGAUCGCGUUACCGGCAUGUAAACACCGUGAGUGACAGCCAAAGCUCCCAGGCGACCACAGAGGAUCUCAAACCCUUCCUAUCUUCCUAGAAACCCUGGCAGCCCGACCGGCUGCUUGCUGUCUGAUGCAACAGUUUGCAACGCUGUUCUGGGAGUUGAGUCCUGCUGCGGGGCGCCGGGAACCGGGCCGACGCGCAUGCGCGGGCUGCGGCCCCGCCCCAAAGGGCGGAGGGGGAGCUUUUCACCAGAUGUGCGGGGGGCGGGGCCGGUCGGCCAGGGAGACCUCUGGCAGCUCGCGCCUGCGAUCUGAGCUUAAUUAAACUUCUCCCGAGGCAUUGGCUGACUGAUUGACCCAGUGAUCCAAAAAAAUCAGAGAGGCCCAAAUCUCCCCAAACGCACCGGCAGAGCGAAGUUGGGAAGUUGGCUUCGGUUUCCAGACUUGGGCCUUUGGAUUCGGCGUCCCUCUCCUGCGCCCCCGAUCCGCAGCACUGUCCAGGAUCCACAGCUCGGAAGCACAGUCAAGCCUCGCGGGUCUGGGCCCUCACACCACACACUUUCUUAAGAAGGGAGGCAUUGUGGCUACGGGGCGGAAAGGAGGCAAGAUUUUGAUACCUCCUUUGUCAGUAUCUCCUCUGCCUCGCUCAUCUGUUUUAGGUUUUAUGAGCAGGAGACGUCACCGAUUAUUUUCCAAAAUUUUCAGCUGUUCGGAUAUUGCCUUCACGGUUUGCUUCCAUGUCCACAUUCCACCACUAUUAUAUAUUUUAAUAGACUUUUAUUUUAUUAACUUUUUCUUUAACUUUAAACCGUUUCCCUUUUUUAGAUAGCUUUGCCCUAAGCAAUAACAUUAGCAAAGCUACAGGCUGAAAAUAAAUUCAAAACUAUUAAAAUAAAAAAUAUAUAUAUGGGCUGGUCCGAGUGCAGUGGUGUUUGCAACUAACUGAUCACAUUCAGUUACAGAUUUCUUUCUUUUCUUUUUUCUUUUCUUCUCCACUCACACUGCUUCACUUGACCAGCCAUAUAUAUAUAUAUAUAUAUAUAUAUGCUAAAUUGUCUCGUCUACCACAUUUGGUGAAAAACUCUGGUAAUUGCUGGACACAAUGGCUCAUGUUUGUAAUCCCAGCACUUUGGGAGGUCAGCCAGCCUGGGCAACAUGGUAAAACCCAUCUCUACUAAAAACACAAAAAUUAGCUGGGCAUAGUGGCGCGUGCCUGUAGUCCCAACUACCGGGGAGGCGAGGUGGGAGGAUUGCUUGAGCCCGGGAGGUUGAGGCUGCAGUGAGUUAUGAUGGUGCCACUGCACUCCAGCCUGGGUGACAGUGAGACCCUGUCUCAAAAACAAACAAAAACUCUGGAGGUAAUACUACCUAACAUAUUGAGUGAUUGUCAAUGUCUCAGGCAUUAUUCUAAGCACUUUACAUGUUCUUACUCCUUAUGACACCACAGAAGGUGGAUGUUGUUUACAUUUUAAAGGAGAAAAAUGAGGCACAGAGAGGUUAAGUAACUUGCCUAAGAUCACAGAGCCAGGAUGCAAACUCCACUAGCCUGUCUCCAGAGCCUACAUGGCUGCCCUAUCCAAGGAGGACCCACAGUUUCUCCAAAUCUUACCCCUCUUUCAAGGCCAAGAUCAAAUGUCAGGGCCUGGAUGAAGGCUACCUGGGAGAUGGGCACACAGGGUACUGGCAUAGGGGAGCAUGAGAAUCCAGUCAGCCAGGGUUCAGGUACUGGUUUUGCUGUUACUAAUUUUAUGAUCUGAAGCUUUUAGUUUCUUCAUCUGUAAAAUAAGCAGAAUCAUUAUU
rnacentral:lncRNA from 1 species